CUUCAACGACCCCAGCCACACCGGCCGUUCCCUGUCCUGGCCGUACGUCGCCAGCAGGGCGCGCGCCUC
rnacentral:antisense_RNA from 1 species